rnacentral:rRNA from 1 species
CUCAGCAUAACAGCAUGAAUAUAUCUUGAGUAUAUUUGAUUUCAAAAGCUAAGCAGGGUUGGGUCUGGUUAGUACUUGGGUGGGAGACUAUCAGAUAAUGCCAACGAUUCAAACAGGGC